AAUCCAGAUAGUGGAUCUACAGAGCUUUUGUCUCCCCACCUACAAAACCGAGAAUAAACAACAAAAGUACAGAUACACGAAAACACUACUUAAGUACAGUAAUGAAUUACAUUUACUUAGUUACUGUCCACCACUGUAAAUACUUGAUAGUUACAGGUUGUUACAAAAUGAGAUGAAGAGACCAUGUUGUUAAAUGAAGUAAACCAAACCUUUUCGGCGUGAGUAAAGUCAUGGUAAAGUGUGUAGCAUAGCUGCGACAGGGCUACAUAUUGCAGUAUAGUACAAAUCACUCUUUUCAAGUUGCUACCCAGAGUAGAAAGAAGUUGACCUUUGAGAUGUCUUUGUUUUGCGCUGAGCCUCAAGUAUAUGCAUAGGGAAUUCUUAACUUCUCUAGCUAUGUGCACAGCAGUUUUUUAAUUUGUCAUUUGUUUCCACAUCAACACUAUCCAUCCAUCCAUUUUCUAAGCCGCUUCUCCCUCAGGGUCACGAGGGUGUGAUGGAGCUUAUCCCAACGACAUCGGGCGGAAGGCAGGAUACACCCUGGACAGGUCACCAGCACAUUUGUUAUCUCUCCUGGUCAGCCUGCUCUAAUGGGGGCAUAAUACAGUCUAAUUACAGAUAUGAUAGCAUAUAGACCAGUUACAUAUGUCAGUAACCAGUGGUCUGAUUCCACACCCACAAAUAUUUUGAGGGAACAUUUUGCAAUUUGUAUGCAAGUUUUCUUUUAUUUGUCGUCAUGAUUUCGUAAUUCGUUCCCCCAGAUUCAUUCUCUCAUUGUCUUUUAAUGAGGCACAUUUUCUUUUUCAUUUUGAGCACAUUUUUUAUUUGUGCACAAACAAAAUAUAUGGAGCUACCGCUCAACUGCACUUUGAUUUGCAUUGCACUCUUCUUCAUUGUUUUAGAAUAAAAAACAUGCCAAAAACUGUUGCAUGGUGGCCUGGAGGGCAAAUAAGAAAUAUAGGUUUUCAAGAUACAUAACAGAGCUAAAAACACAUAGUUGACUAAAAGCUAACAACAGGGAGGGACCUAAUGGGAUCUUCAUAGUAUCUAUGUGUGCAGCAGAUAUUUUGCGUCAGGUAAGUUAAAAGUUAUUUAAUUCUCUGAGAAUUUGUUGUUAAAAUAAUUAGUAUCCAAUUCCCAAGAUACAUCAGCUAAUUAGUUAACUUGCUCCCCACUCUCCCUUCCUGACGUAAAGCACAUGCCAUGCUUUUUUUCACUGGCAUUCAAAGUAAACCACCACUUUCAGUCCAGAGUGUUUCUAACCAGUGAAAACAAGACCACUAAGCAGAAGUAGGAAGUUUUAUGAGUGUUCAGGUUCAUCAGUAGGUCACAAAAAUGCAUGAGAAAUGUCGAGUGUGGCACAAGAGCAUGAGAUUAGAUCUAAAUGCUGGGGUCUCAAAGCCAGUGCGUGAGAGUUGGCAGCCCUGAAUUAAAUGUGAUGUAAUAUAAUUAAG
ensembl:lncRNA